rnacentral:rRNA from 1 species
CAGUUCGGAUUGUAGUCUNCAACCCGGCUACAUGAAGCUGGAAUCGCUAGUAAUCGCGGAUCAGAAUGCCGCGGUGAAUACGUUCCCGGGUCUUGUACACACCGCCCGUCACACCAUGGGAGCCGGAAAUGCCCGAAGUCAGUGACCCAACCGCAAGGAGGGAGCUGCCGAAGGUGGAGCUGGUAACUGGGGUGAAGUCGUAACAAGGUAAC